UCUAUCUGUUGCGUCGCGGGUAAGGGGAAACCGUUGAAGAGUGAGCGUAAUCCGACUCAAGCGCUCAACGAUACCCAUUUGGCGGAGCGAAGUGGGAGUAGACGGACACCCACCAGAACGAAGCAUCGAUACACUCUGUAAUAGUUCCGAGCAAUUUAUUGCUAUUUAAACGAAGAAGAGUUGAUAGGAGCCAAUCCGUGUGCUUUACGCAGCUGAAUCAAGAGUACGUUACAGUCUUCGAAACGUCAAAAUAUCGCUAUAAUUAGUUCGUAGUAUUUGACCGGUGUUGUCAGGAUAUACGAGCUACCGGCGAUGGGUGCUUACGACGCAACUUCUGCAGACCAAAUAGACGAUAGAUACAUCAACAAAGGUCCGGCAAUAACCAAGCUUAUGAACAAAAACGCUGUUGAAGUGGAACCAGCAGCUGAAUCUGCCAUGACGUCAUGGAUAAUUCUCCUGUUCUCAACUGAUAUGUUAGUGGCGCUAUGCUCGUGCAUAGUUGUGUUCACGCUUGUAUUGGCUGUCUUCCUACGAAACAGAGAACGAGUGCGCCGUUACGUGACCGGUGAGAACCGGCGAGUAGGCAGUGUCUAUUACGUGCGACCGGGAAUUGCUCCAACUCAACCGACGGAGAUUUGAUAGGAAAACCGAAAACGAACAGCAAGCACGUUAACAGCCUCAAUCAGCGAUGACUCGGUCAGCAAUGAGAACUCCAAUAGCACCAACCAUAAUCGUAGGUGAAAUCGUUAAGAAGAAAUAUAAUCAUAUCGUAUAAAUGGGACGCCAAGACUGCGAGCGAUGUAUCGAACGAACGUGAGCAGUCAUCGGAAGCCUUCGUCCAGUAACAAACUGAAUACGGCGUAUGUAUCAGCGUGGAGCGCGUACAACGAUUUUCAACGGCAAAAAACCCUCAAUCACUAAUGGGCUCAUAUUAAAUUACUCAUCUGAAUGUGACUCUUUAAACUGUCGGCGGUCCUUUUAGAUGUAUGGCUUUAUCCAAAACUAGCUCAAUAAUUACCUAACUAAAAUUUUACGAAAGCGAGCAUUCAGAACAUAUCAACAAACAAGCUCGGGUAUAAUUUAGGUUGGCCAUUUUAGUCUUGGGGCAAACUAUUGGCUUAUGCAGAUUGUUUUGAAUUAUUAAAUGAUUUAGACGCCUGUUGAUAUAUUGCCUUUAAAGAUAUCGGGUUUUAAGAAGACGAAUGACUUUUCCGUGAAAUCGAAUUCAGUUGGUUAAAAGCGUAUCGAUCAUUUUUGGAAGCUUUUUCACAGGUCAAACUCAUCUGUAUACAUACAAUUAGAUUUAGCCUUAUGAUUGGGUGUACGUUUCGAAGUUCUUAUAGUGUUGUUCGGUAGGUGUUUCUUGAAGAAGAAGCAGCUACACGAAAAAUCACGGUGAAAACAUUCCAGUGAACGAAAAUCUACGAUUUUCCUUACCUUAUUACUGUACUGAUGUACCAUAUUGCUGGAAGCGGUAUUUUUGUAAAUCUCGAGUAAUUAAUUAGCGCAACAAUUUUUUUCCGUAGAAGGCGGGAUGGAGUCUCUUUUUUUCAUGCAUAGGAACGACACCCCUUUAUCGUGCUUCGGCAACGUAGCUUUUGAGCGUAUGAAAGAAUAAAUUAUUGCACACGUUUAUUAACCUAUAUUUUGAACAUAAGCGAUUAUCACAUUGUAGGCGCAAGGCGCAUUUCUAUUCACGAUUUAUUUUUACUUCAGCAGAAUUUUUUCCCGAACAGGACCAGAGAUGAGUAAUGUAAUAUCUAUUUAGUAGAGAUUUAGAUUUGUGAGCAAUCACAAUUUUGCUGUACUGCUCGGAUCGAAUCUUAUUUAAGCUGCUACUACCCAUUGCUGAGUGCGUGUGAUUAGAUCCAACAAACGUAGCCGUUGAAAUGAUCGAAAGUUCUAAUCUAUAGAACAAUACAUUUUCUAUUUAGCCACAUGUAAAUAGAAUAGCUGGUUCUCGAAAUAACGAAAGAUGUAUCUCGAAAUGUUGCCUUAAUGUGGCUUUACUAGACCCGUAGUAGCUUUAAUAGACUUUAAUUUCAGUUUUUAUAAAUCACUAUUACGUAACUGGAACAUACGUGUCAUAUUGUUUAAUACCAUUACCUACACCAUCUUGAGGAAUCAGCUUCAGUUAAUUCAGGUAAUAUAGUAACGUUAUUCCACACAACAAGGAUUCUAAAAAUGUUUCUAUAGAAGCUCAAUUGCGUUUCGUUGUACAUGUAUGCUUGUUUGUACUUCAUACUCUUAAACUGUCUUAACUAGUAGGGGCACUACUAAUGGAAAAAUGUAGUACUUUAAAAGAAAGUAUCCAAAUCCCGUAAUGAUAUUAUGGCCAAAAAUGUUCUUAUUGUCCCACCGAGAAGGAGAAUAAUAUUUAAAUCGUUCACUACUUUUUUUUUCUCGAGAACUACCUCAUAUUUAAAAAUGUCGAUAUCUGAUGAAAAUAAUAUGGUAACGUGAAGAGUAAACUACCUGAAAAACAUGUUUACCCGAGGUGAUUAAUUGCGAAAGAACUAUUCGGUCUAGACAACUAUCGCAGCUAAAGGAAGUACGCAAACCUAACCGUUAGGUUAGGUUUGCGCACUUCCUGUAGAUGCAACUGUACUCAAUGACAAAUAUGUACUAUUAGUAAACGUAGACAUUAUAUAUAUAUGCCUUGUGUUAUCGGUAACCACCAGAGUCUUAUGUGCGCACAUGGUUGUUCUUAUGCGUCAAGAUCAGUACCGCGCGUAGUGAUGCUAGGCAUUGGCUAGCUAGAACGUCAAUUUCACGCUAAGCGGUAUCGGUCAGUUCAGUCAGUACUUCUGAUGCUCCAUAUUACUGUGGCCCGAGGAAGACGUCAUCCAUCGCUUUUGUUCGCCGGUUUCAUUUGAUAAUAUAAUCACUACAUUAAACUUUUCCGUAAAAUAAAGUCACGUUGUAGAGGUAGUA
rnacentral:lncRNA from 11 species